UAUACUCUGGUGUAGUGGCACACUAGUUUUUGAUACUAGAAGUAAUGGUUCUAGUUCCAUUGAGUAUAA
rnacentral:tRNA from 1 species